rnacentral:rRNA from 1 species
AUUGAACGCUGGCGGCAUGCUUUACACAUGCAAGUCGGACGGCAGCGGGGUAGUGCUUGCACUACUGCCGGCGAGUGGCGAACGGGUGAGUAAUAUAUUGGAACGUACCGAGUAACGGGGGAUAACCAAUCGAAAGACUGGCUAAUACCGCAUACGCUCCGUGGAGGAAAGCAGGGGACCUUCGGGCCUUGCGUUAUUCGAGCGGCCAAUAUCUGAUUAGCUAGUUGGGGGGGUAAGGGCCCACCAAGGCGACGAUCAGUAGCGGGUCUGAGAGGAUGAUCCGCCACACUGGAACUGAGACACGGCCCAGACUCCUACGGGAGGCAGCAGUGGGGAAUUUUGGACAAUGGGCGCAAGCCUGAUCCAGCCAUGCCGCGUGUCUGAAGAAGGCCUUCGGGUUGUAAAGGACUUUUGUUAGGGAAGAAAAAGGGCCGGUUAAUACCCGUUUCUGCUGACGGUACCUAAAGAAUAAGCACCGGCUAACUACGUG